rnacentral:rRNA from 1 species
GUAGGUGGCAAGCGUUGUCCGGAAUUAUUGGGCGUAAAGCGCGCGCAGGCGGUUCUUUAAGUCUGAUGUGAAAGCCCACGGCUCAACCGUGGAGGGUCAUUGGAAACUGGAGAACUUGAGUACAGAAGAGGAAAGCGGAAUUCCACGUGUAGCGGUGAAAUGCGUAGAGAUGUGGAGGAACACCAGUGGCGAAGGCGGCUUUCUGGUCUGUAACUGACGCUGAGGCGCGAAAGCGUGGGGAGCAAACAGGGAUUAGAUACCCUGGUAGUCCACGCCGUAAACGAUGAGUGCUAAAUGUUAGGGGGGUUUCCGCCCCCUUAGUGCUGCAGCUAACGCAUUAAGCACUCCGCCUGGGGAUACGGCCGCAAGGCUG